CUACGGAGGGUGCAAGCGUUAUUCGGAAUCACUGGGCGUAAAGGACGCGUAGGCGGGUUGGCAAGUCAGAUGUGAAAUCCCACAGCUUAACUGUAGAACUGCAUUUGAAACUGCUAACCUAGAGUAUGGGAGGGGGAGAUGGAAUUAGUGGUGUAGGGGUAAAAUCCGUAGAUAUCACUAGGAAUACCGAAAGCGAAGGCGAUCUCCUGGAACAUAACUGACGCUAAGGCGUGAAAGCGUGGGGAGCAAACAGGAUUAGAAACCCUAGUAGUCC
rnacentral:rRNA from 1 species